GAUGAACGCUGGCGGCGUGCCUAAUACAUGCAAGUCGAGCGAACAGAUGAGGAGCUUGCUCCUCUGACGUUAGCGGCGGACGGGGGAGUAACACGUGGAUAACCUACCUAUAAGACUGGGAUAACUUCGGGAAACCGGAGCUAAUACCGGAUAAUAUAUUGAACCGCAUGGUUCAAUAGUGAAAGACGGUUUUGCUGUCACUUAUAGAUGGAUCCGCGCCGCAUUAGCUAGUUGGUAAGGUAACGGCGUACCAAGUCAACGAUGCGUAGCCGACCUGAGAGGGUGAGAGGGCACACUGGAACUGAGACACAGUCCAGACUCCCACGGGAGGAAGCAGUAGGGAAUCUUUCGCAAUGGGCGGUAGGCUGACGGAGCAAUCCCGCGUGAGCGAUGAAGGUAUUCGGAUCGUAAAACUCUGUUAUUAGGGAAGAACAAAUGUGUAAGUAAAUGUGCACGUCUUGACGGUCCCUAAUCAGAAAGCCACGGCUAACUACGUG
rnacentral:rRNA from 1 species